rnacentral:rRNA from 1 species
CGAAGCCGUGAGGCAGAGCGAACCCCAAAAAGCCGUCCCAGUUCGGAUCGCAGGCUGCAACCCGCCUGCGUGAAGUCGGAAUCGCUAGUAAUCGCGGAUCAGCAUGCCGCGGUGAAUACGUUCCCGGGCCUUGUACACACCGCCCGUCACACCAUGAGAGUCGGGAACACCCGAAGUCCGUAGCCUAACAGCAAUGAGGGCGCGGCCGAAGGUGGGUUCGAUAAUUGGGGUGAAGUCGUAACAAGGUAUC